GACGAACGCUGGCGGCGUGCCUAACACAUGCAAGUCGAACGGAGUAUCCAGCAAUGGAUGCUUAGUGGCGAACGGGUGAGUAACGCGUAGACAACCUGCCUCUAAAUUGGGGACAACACCGCGAAAGUGGUGCUAAUACCGAAUGUGGUAUCUUGAUCGCAUGAUCGAGAUAAGAAAGGUGGCCUCUAUUAUAAGCUACCGAUUAGAGAUGGGUCUGCGUCUGAUUAGCUAGUUGGUGAGGUAAUGGCUCACCAAGGCGACGAUCAGUAGCCGGUCUGAGAGGAUGAACGGCCACACUGGGACUGAGACACGGCCCAGACUCCUACGGGAGGCAGCAGUGGGGAAUCUUCCGCAAUGGACGAAAGUCUGACGGAGCAACGCCGCGUGAGUGAAGAAGGUCUUCGGAUUGUAAAGCUCUGUCGUUUGGGACGAACGUGCUUGUUGUGAAUAAUGAUAAGUAAUGACGGUACCAAAGGAGGAAGCCACGGCUAACUACGUGCCAGCCGCCGCAGUAA
rnacentral:rRNA from 1 species